AACGAACGCUGGCGGCAGGCCUAACACAUGCAAGUCGAACGAGUAAGAGCCGUAGCAAUACGGAGUUCUGCUAGUGGCGCACGGGUGCGUAACGCGUGGGAAUCUGCCCUUGGGUGCGGAAUAACUUCUCGAAAGGGAUGCUAAUACCGCAUAAUGUCGUAAGACCAAAGAUUUAUCGCCCAAGGAUGAGCCCGCGUAAGAUUAGCUAGUUGGUGGGGUAAAAGCCUACCAAGGCGACGAUCUUUAGCUGGUCUGAGAGGAUGAUCAGCCACACUGGGACUGAGACACGGCCCAGACUCCUACGGGAGGCAGCAGUGGGGAAUAUUGGACAAUGGGCGAAAGCCUGAUCCAGCAAUGCCGCGUGAGUGAUGAAGGCCCUAGGGUUGUAAAGCUCUUUUACCAGGGAUGAUAAUGACAGUACCUGGAGAAUAAGCUCCGGCUAACUCCGUGCCAGCAGCCGCGGUAAU
rnacentral:rRNA from 1 species